UACGUAGGGUGCAAGCGUUGUCCGGAAUUAUUGGGCGUAAAGAGCUCGUAGGCGGUUUGUUGCGUCGGCUGUGAAAUCCCGAGGCUCAACCUCGGGUCUGCAGUCGAUACGAGCAAACUAGAGUGUUGCAGGGGAGACUGGAAUUCCUGGUGUAGCGGUGAAAUGCGUAGAUAUCGGGAGGAACACCGGUGGCGAAGGCGGCCUUCUGGACGGAUACUGACGCUGAGACGCGAAAGCGUGGGGAGCAAACAGG
rnacentral:rRNA from 1 species